rnacentral:rRNA from 1 species
CCUACGGGAGGCAGCAGUGAGGAAUAUUGGUCAAUGGACGAGAGUCUGAACCAGCCAAGUAGCGUGAAGGAUGACUGCCCUAUGGGUUGUAAACUUCUUUUAUAUGGGAAUAAAAUGUUCCACGUGUGGGAUUUUGUAUGUACCAUAUGAAUAAGGAUCGGCUAACUCCGUGCCAGCAGCCGCGUUAAUACGGAGGAUCCGAGCGUUAUCCGGAUUUAUUGGGUUUAAAGGGAGCGUAGGUGGAUUGUUAAGUCAGUUGUGAAAGUUUGCGGCUCAACCGUAAAAUUGCAGUUGAAACUGGCAGUCUUGAGUACAGUAGAGGUGGGCGGAAUUCGUGGUGUAGCGGUGAAAUGCUUAGAUAUCACGAAGAACUCCGAUUGCGAAGGCAGUUCACUGGACUGCAACUGACACUGAGGCUCGAAAGUGUGGGUAUCAAACAGGAUUAGAUACCCCAGUAGUC